GUAGUGAGCACGGGAAGCUGAGGCUGUGGUCUAAAUUUCCCCUGAAAGUCUUAACCACGAGUGAGAUUUUGUAUAUGUAUCAAUCAUACCAUUUCCAUGCUCAGUCUCUGUUCCUGUCACUCCAAGUGUGAGAAGAGAUAGACGAUUGAGAUAAAAGAGAAGUUCCUAGGCUUUACCUUCUAUUUCUCCUUUUUCUUUUCCAUAGUAAAAUUACCAUGAAAUUACUUGUAAGAAGUUUCAGGCAGUUGGGCAAAGCUACUCAUGGAUUUGUCUUGGGAGGAAUGAAAAUCAGCAAAUUUUAUCUUCUUUCCUAUGUUUUGCAGCUAUUGAGGCUAUUUCUAUAAUUUGGGCAUGCCCAUAACAUAAAUAACGUUGGCCCUGAAACAUAAUCUUUCUGCCACUAGAGAGUAAGUAUCAAGUUUGGAAAUGGGUUAGUUUAUCUAUCUUCUUUUUCGUGAGAAGACUGAAGAGGGGAGUUUAACCCCUGAACCCUGAAGGGGCCAGUAAUAAUACAGGUGGAAACCCAGUGGGUAAAAAUGGUGACAGGUUGAACUGCCUUUUCUUCGCUCUCCAGGCUGGACUUGGGGUCUCUCUUCCUUAACGUGGCAGAAGUGAUAGAACAAAAUUACAACCUUGACAAAACGGAGGAAGUAGUCCUCUGUACAGACGCUCAACGGGUGAUCCUCCCAGCGCAGGGAAAUGUUAAUGAAGCCAAGUCGAAAACUGAUGAUGUGCUGCCCUCAAUGUGUAACACACCAUGUUAAGAGCGAAUACAAGCAUUUCUCCUUAGGUUCAGGGACGGAGAAUUUGAGCAGUGUCCUGGUAACAGCCUGCAUGGAAGCAGAGGUCAGUUCCUGAGAAGCUCUGCCUGCGUACCUCCUCAGUUUGGGGGAAGGAGGAGCCCCAACCUGGUCAAAAUCAGCCUUCCUUCCCCAGAGCGCCUGUGACCUGAGACCAGGCAAGAACCACGACUGACCACAGGGGAGUAUCCCCAUUGUACAGAUGAGAACACUGAGGCUUUGCAAGGAUAAAUGACAUCCCAAGGUUUUUCCACGCCCAGCUUGCCCUUGAUUUGCACCUCUAAGGAAUGGCAUUCAGGCCAUGCUCUUCAUUCAGCACACAAACCUCCUGGGUGCUACGCACUGUGUUAGGACCUGAGAAUCCAAGAAAAGCAAGACCCGGGCCCUGAAGCAUGUGAAAGAGUCACAGGCACAGAGACAGCACUGUAUUUGAGGUGUCGUGGGGCUCAACCAAGGGAGUAAUCGAUUCUUUGUGGGUAGCAAUGGGUCAGCUCGAUGCUUGAGAUGAGUCUUGAAUGGGAUCAGGCAUAUUCCCAGCUAUGAACACAUCACAACCUUCAGGCUUGGGAAGAGGAGUGUGAGCUCAACAAUCCCUGCAAAAUGUCCGUCUUCAUCUGCCAGCUGUUAGCCUGAGUUUGGGGAAGCCCGAUGACACUGUGUAAUAUGCUCUGCUGACUGGAACCAUGGGCUCUGGAAUCAGGAGACUUGGGUUUCAUGCCUUGUUUUCCCACUCGCCUGCUGUGGUAUCUCCAGGAAACUCUUACUGUACAUAUGCCUUGGUUUUAGCUUCUGUGAAAUGAGUAUAAAGUAAUAAUUCCUGACAUCAUGGGGGGAGGGUAGUUGUGAGGAUCCACUAAGCUCAAAGAUGGAAAACGCUGCCGAAAAUGUCAAAGCUCUACUUUCAAGAUGAUCCCCAGUCAGGAGCUAGUUCUCCUGCAGCAUAUGUCUUACCUCUGCCCCCUGCCCUCCCCACCCCCUGCCCCCGACACAGAAGGGCUGUAAUUUUUACUUCAUUUUCAUGGUUCACAUUCAGCCCCGGGGAUGUUUGGUGUACUAGGCUACCUCUGAAACAAUUUAAAGACACUUCAGCUGUCCCAAUGAAAUCAUGUUGCUGAAAAUGUUGGAUGAUGUGGGCGAAGAGAAACCAAUAUAAUCUUCACAAGCACGAUGUGCCAUCGUGCUUCGUGCAGCUCUUUCAGGGUGAAUAUCAGGCAGAUGACACGUUCUGAUUCUCGCUCUUGCCAUGCACUUCAUCGAGAAGCACAUUCUCUUCCGGCGUGAUAAUUCUGUGGUUAACUAGCAUCACUGCACGAGCAAAUGAACAAGACUUUCAUGUGAAUAGCCAUUCCAUGCAUGUGCAAACCACAGCGUGCAAUUUCCCUGCAACGGGAGGAAUCCCAGCUAUUCCUACCCUGAACUGGACACUUAGGGGUGGGAGCCUCGGUAAAGGUCGCCACUACCUUCCCGUGUACACCCCUGGCCCCCACCACCAUCAUCUUAAAACAACAGCGUAGAUAUUGCAGAAUCCAGUCACUUUCGUUACACUGUGCUCCUGUUCCUACCUGCUCCUGGACCCUUGGGAAGCCAGCCCCACACUCCUGUAGACUCUCUCUCAUCCCCUAGAUGAGCCUUUUCAUCUACCCCUUGGCAUCCCGUCAAUAGGACAUCCUGACCUUGUACACACCUCGAAGUGUACCGGUAACUCUGCUCUAAUAUGUCAAGUUCUGAAAACAUUUCCACUCUUCUGGCUCAGCCAGUUGUGGGGUGAAAUUUGGGAAGCCUGGAUUGGGAAGUGAAGAUCACCUUGUUCUGUGGAAAGUGAAAGAGGAAUUGAAGCGAGGAAGCUAACGCUCUUCCUUUGGUUCCAGCGCAUCAACCUUCACCUCUCCCCGCAGCACCGCGAUCACCAGCCAUCAAGGCCACCUUGCCCGGUGCCUUUUUUUAAAAAUAUGGCUUUAAAUGCUUCAUCGUGGUUAGAAGACGACAUAGAGAAGCAUUAACAAAAUGAUGGGGAAGACACAAAAUAGAAGAACAGAGAAAGAAGAAAGAGGAAGUAGAAUUCAGGAGGAGAAAAAAUCAUGACAUUGGUUUAUUGAAACCUGAACAGAAGGCAAAAUUGCACCCAGCCACCUCCAGCCCAGCAGGCUUAUCAAAACCAACUCAGACACAGGGGGACUCUUACCUAUUUGUCUCUGGAUCUUCAGAAUGGAGUCAGGAGAGGUGGCAUUUGGAGGCAGCAGAGCUGUGCUGGUUACCUUCGUUUCCCCCUCUGCAUCUACAGAGGUGUUUUGCACAUAGAAGGAUUUCAACAGAGUGAAAUGAUCACUAACUUUUAAGUUAUAUCUACUCUUGCAAAGUGAAAUGUGGAGUUCAGAUGUCUGGGGGGAUAAAAAGGUGUUAAAAAAAGACCCAAAUGGUCCACAUGAAUAAAAGAUGAUACAUUUGGGCCAGACCCGUGGUCCACUGA